AGAGUUUGAUCCUGGCUCAGAACGAACGCUGGCGGCAGGCUUAACACAUGCAAGUUGAACGUGAUUUGCUGGGUGCUUGCACCGAGCAAUGAAAGUAGCGCACUGGUGAGUAACACGUGGGAACGUACCUUUUGGUGGGGAACAACAGUUGGAAACGACUGCUAAUACCGCAUAAGCCCUGAGGGGGAAAGAUUUAUCGCCGAAAGAACGGCCCGCGGAAGAUUAGGUAGUUGGUGGGGUAACGGCCUACCAAGCCGACGAUCUAUAGCUGGUCUGAGAGGACGAUCAGCCACAUUGGAACUGAGACACGGUCCAAACUCCUACGGGAGGCAGCAGUGAGGAAUAUUGGGCAAUGGAGGCAACUCUGACCCAGCCAUGCCGCGUGAGUGAAGAAGGUUUUCGGAUUGUAAAGCUCUUUCGGGUGUGACGAUGAUGACGGUAGCACCUAAAGAAGCCCCGGCUAACUUCGUGCCAGCAGCCGCGGUAAUACGAAGGGGGCAAGCGUUGUUCGGAAUUACUGGGCGUAAAGGGAGUGUAGGCGGUUAUGUAAGAUAGUGGUGAAAUCCCAGAGCUUAACUUUGGAAUUGCCAUUAUGACUAUGUGGCUAGAAUUACAGAGAGGAUAGUGGAAUACCCAGUGUAGAGGUGAAAUUCGUAGAUAUUGGGUAGAACACCAGUGGCGAAGGCGACUAUCUGGCUGUAUAUUGACGCUGAGGCUCGAAAGCAUGGGGAUCAAACAGGAUUAGAUACCCUGGUAGUCCAUGCUGUAAACGAUGAGUGCUUGUUGUCGGUAUUGUAUCGGUGACGAAGUUAACGCGUUAAGCACUCCGCCUGGGGAGUACGGUCGCAAGAUUAAAACUCAAAGGAAUUGACGGGGACCCGCACAAGCGGUGGAGCAUGUGGUUUAAUUCGA
rnacentral:rRNA from 1 species